GGCGCCUCUGCCAACCCCGCCGGGCGCUCGGGACGCAGCGGGAAGGGAAAUUUUGCGCUGCGGACGAAGCUUUCGCUUUCCUGCAGGAAGAAGGGAGCGGCCGCGGUUCCCGAGUGCCCCGGCCGGGAUGUGAGGGAGGCGGUGGCGCGGCCGUGACGCGGCGCGGGGCGGGGCGGGGCGGGCGCGGGUCGGUCCGGCCAUGCCGAAGCGCUCCUGCCCCUUCGGGGACGCGGCCCCGCUGCAGCUGAAGACCCGCGUGGGGCUGCGGGAGCUGAGCCGCGGCGUGCGGGGCGAGGAGUACCGGCGAGAGGUGUUCGAGAGGACCCGGCGGCUGCUCUUCAGGGGUGCCCAGGCGUACAUGGAGGGCGCGGCGGCCGCGGCCCGUGCGGCGGAGCCGGGGCCGGCCGGGGAGGCGCCGGGCGAGGGGUCCCGCUGGAGCGGGCAGCUCCUCAUCGGCCACGACGGGAAGCUGCGGCGGCGGCCCGCGGACAGGGUUCCGCCGCUGGGAGCGUCCAGAGCCUGCUCGUCGUGUGUGAGAGCGGCCGAUGUGAAGGAGGCGUGUGCGCAGUGUGACCGGCUCGUCUGCCAGAGCUGCAGCAGGCUCUGCAGCUGCUGUAACACGGUCACCUGCUCCUUGUGCUCCGCUGCUGAUUGUGCUAUGCCUGUCUGGAAGGGACCACUCUGUGCUCUUACCUGGUGUUCCUGAUGUGAUACAGGAUUCAGAAUAUUCUCCUCGCUUGUUGGUCAUGUUAGGACACACUUUUGUGGGAUCAGAAUAGAAAUCAUUUGCUCCCUCUGUGCUUCCAGGCCAGUAUUUUAUGCCAAGAUACACCAGUCAAGAUGAACCUUGAGGACCUGCUCUGUACAGACAGUGUAAGUGUUCCUAUGGAUUGGAGUCAGAGGAGGUCUCCACAGUGAUCCAAGGAACAUCCAGCAUGAGGAAAAUAAUUAUUUAAAGAGAUAUUCUGUCAGUUGAUAACACAGCCUUCUAGAAGGCAGAAGAUGAGAGACAGGGUAAGGCACAAAAAAAGAAUGAAAGCAAAGGAGAAGAGGAAGAAGGAAUCCAUUGUUCCUUGUCUGCUGGGCAUAGAUAGGAGAAUGAUGUCAUAAGGCAAAAGGCAAAUAAAGAGAACUGGAAUUCUGAAAAAGAAAAACCCUGAAAAACAGGGAAAAGGAACUCACUAGUGCAGGCUGGUGUCUACAGGUACCACCCAGCAAUCUGCGUCCAACCUCUGUGCAGCAGGGAGCUGAAAGCCCACCUCCAUGUGCCAGCUUUUCCUGCUCCCAGGAGAGGAGCUCUGCUCAGCAGAAGACAGAUGGCAUUGCCAUUGCCUGUGCUCCUGUGGGGGCUUUUCCAGAUGGGGAGUUGGAAGCUUCUUUGUGCUGCUCCAGCCUUCCUGUGCAGCAGCCUCGGGUGCUUGGGGCUCCACCAGCCUGCGUGCCUGGAUCCAGUGCUGCUCAGAGAAACUGCAGCUGAACCCGCUGGGAAAAUACAUGGAUUUAUAGCCAGGGUUUUCUCCCUGUCUGAGGUGUCCUUGUUGACUUCUCCUCUCUUGUGAGGAGAGAUUAUGGAGAGAUUGCUAAUAAAGGCCAAGUUACUGUCAGUGAUCUGAAAAGAAAGCUGACACAACUGUUCUGCAGAGGGGAACCCCAGACAGCUCCGUGCCACUCACACACUGACCUCCAGCCAAACUCGGUGCUUUCCUGCACUGCUGGGAUGCCUCUCCCACCUCAAGCAAGGCACAGCUUGAGAGGUUUCUCAAAGUUACCUGAAAAAUCACUGGGCAGUCCAGGAAGCAUCGCCCUCAUUGCAACUCCCUUUGCCCUUACGGGAAUUUUAAAAAAUAUCAUUUUAAAUACCAAGCAGCCACCUUUGAUCCCCACUUCCUUCACAUUGAGCAAGUCACCACAGAAAGUAAAACUUUGGAGAGGUAACCUGAUUCUAAGUUUUACAAUCAGGUAAAGGGAGAUACUAAGUUUAAUCCCUUUAUCUUAGUUACACAUUAAAUUUAUGACCUCACCUGCAUAAAUAAGUACAUUUUGUUCCGCUUUCUUCCACUUCCUUUCCUCUGCAACUUUCCAAUCUGCAGCUGCUCCAAGAGACUUUGUUCUCUCUGCUUUUUACUCAGUUUCAUUCUACACUCAUUACUGAAUGGGCACCAGGUAUUCUUGUCUACCCGUUUAGUUUCAUUUCUCCCAAUCUUAUCAGAAUAAGGAACAAUCACAACAGCCAAAGAUAUCAUAUGGAAAAUUUACCAUGUGCUGCAACCAUCCUAACAAUAUCACUCCAUUUUUGUUCUGGAAGUUCAUUGAAGGGCUAAUGUUCUGAUCUUCCUGCACAUCUAUAAAGCCUUUAAAAGUCACUGGAGCAAUUUAUCAAGUAUGUGAGAAAAGUUCAUUAGCUAUUUAGGAAAAAAAAAAUCACUCAAAAGCUGUAUGAACUCCAGUCCUGUGUGUGGGAGAUGGUGCUGGAAUUGUUCUCUGCAGUCAGGUCUGUGUCCCAAUAAAUUAAAAUAAAAAGAGUAAGGAGCCUCUGAAGUGCAGUAAGUCCUAAUGCAGAGUAGGGGCACAGAAUCCCAGAAUAAACCAAGCUGGAAGGGACCCACAAGGACCAUCAAGUCCAGCAUGUUUAAGAAUGGAUUUCAUGUUCAUUUUAAUCCAAUUUCUAUGAACUCUCAGGCACUCUGCUGAAGAUCACAAUCACUAUUUUUUGUUCUGAUAUUGAUUUUUUUCAGUACUACACAACUUCCUGAGUAACAGCAUCAGUACUGUAAGGACACAGCAGCACAAAGGAAUAGAUACAGGGAGUUUACCAAUAACUAAAGAUCACAGUGUUUGGGAAGAGUUUGUGUGUCCUCUGUGAAGACUUUUGACUCCAGCAUAAAAAUAAUUAUAUCUUCUGCAGGAUGAAUGUAAUGAUUUGUAGAGAAUUUGAAAGACCUUCAUAAUCCAGAAAAUAAAGCAAAUGCUGCGUUGCCAUUUAUCUUCUGGAAACAAAUUCAAAGCCCCAGUGAAAUGCAGCAUUACAAGCAGUUACAGUAACCUGACUAAACACAUUAACAAAGUGUGGAAAACAGGGUAACAUUUAACACAAAGCCCAUCUUUGGGAGGAGGCAAAAAAACCCAGUUACAGGCAAAAAAACCCCAUGUGAAGCAGCACUUCAGCAAACGGGAAACAGAACUGAGCUAUGUGCAGGCUGAAAAACCACAGAGGGAAGUGGAGUUUUUACACAUGAAUACCUUGAUUUGGUCCUUAGGAACCCACCACGCUUACAAAACCAGGGUGGCGACCAUCAGUUACAGAAAAUUUAAAAAGUGUCAAGCAGGAACUACUGUAACAAAUUGCAUUUGUUGAAAAUGAUUUUGGGCAGAGAGCAAGAGGCCACCAGCUGAUUAGAAUGCAGCAUAUGCUGCAGCAGGGAGCGGGCACACGGCUGCACUCUCAGCUGCAGGGGGACAAUAACCCUGCUCACUACAGGCACUGUGUGUUCCUUGCCUGCUACUCCUCGUGGCUAUUAACCUCCCUGUUAUUACAAAAAUUGAGCUCGAAGUGGAAGACAAACACUCAUUUGCGACGCUGAAGAAACAGGAUCCCUUACAUUCGCCUGUUUCUUCAAUUUUGUUUUUACCUCUGAAGCUCUUCUAAAAAAAAGUGAAAUAAACUGGACCUGCUAAAUCAUCACUGCCCAAACUUCUCAGGCACAUCUGUACAACUUGCAUGGGCACUUUCUGUGUGUGGGCUCCCCCUCUGCACCUCUCUCUCCUUGGGAGUUUGCACGCCCACUGUGGGCUGUGACCUCUGAUCUGAGACCACCAUCCUACAGCCAGCUACUGGAGAUAAAAAUCUGUUCUGGCAUGUGCUCUCUAAGAAGCAAAGGGUAUUUUCUCUGACAAAGAUUGAGAAGGCCCCACAAACACUCAGGGGUAUGAAAACAGUGCUGGUGUACUGAGCACUUCAACACAUGGGCACAAUCCAAAGCAGCAGACAAAAAUUUCCCACUAGUUAAAACAAAGACUGUCCAAUUCAAACAAUCCAGGCAAGGUUUUGCCCCCAGACCUCCAAAACUAUAAUAAUUUGUUUCUCAGGUGGAAAGCUGUGAACAAAUUCAAAAAACAGCUAGAACUCAAGGCAAGUAUGAGAGCUGGAGAGCAGGUGGAGGUCACCUGCUGGAGGAGUGAUGGUGCAGAAAGAAAAAUGAAGAAAAAGCUGCUUAUUGUACUGGGGGGGGUGGGGGGCAGAGGCCACAGUUUGAGCCAAGUUUGGAAUGCUAUGAACCAGAGUUAUCUUCAUCCACUUUAAAGGGAGAACAGCCUGUCAUAUCCUAAUGGGAUUGUACUGGAUGCUUUAGUUACACCAGGGAGUAUAAAAUGGAAUUUGCAGAAUUACCUGGCUCCAGCCCAUGUCUCAACCCCAAGCAGCACUCAGAGUGGAUCUGUUUCAGCCACUGCCCAGCUGACCUCAGUUCCACACUGCAGUCACAGGCACACAGAGAACUUACCCAUGUGCUCUUGCCAAGGGGCUUUCUCCCUGUUUUUCUCCAAGUUCAAAUUUACAACAACAUUCCUGGGCAUUAACACAGAUCCACUACUGGUGCUCAAAACCUGGGAUGCACCAGCUUUGCUGCAAUGUGCAACACCUGAGCAAGAUGACAUUUUUCAAUGCCAGAAGAAAAAAUGGGGAGGUUCUGGCUGUAGACAACUGUUAGAAAAGUUCUGAGGUUUCAAAUCAAAGAGCUAAAGAAACAUGUAAGAGUUAAGCAGUCUCUGCAUAUAUGGUACAAAAAGAAUCUGAGAUGAAUGACACAGGUCACAGGUUUUUGCAGCAGGAUUUGCUGUGUUAAAAAUGUAAAAAACACAUUUGAUGUUUGCAGAUAUACAGCUGGUAACAGCCAUAACCAUUCAAUUAUGGACAAGUAAGGCAUUUAGAACAAUCACUGGCAAAAUGAGGGAAUGUGUCCAGCAUUCAGGUGUGGCCCUCACAGCUCUCAGUUGCUAACAAUAUUAAGAUUCAGAGAUUUCUGGCAGCUGCUUUUUUUUUAA